rnacentral:rRNA from 1 species
GAUGAACGCUAGCUACAGGCUUAACACAUGCAAGUCGAGGGGUAACGAGAGGAAAGCUUGCUUUCCUUGUCGACGACCGGCGCACGGGUGAGUAACGCGUAUCCAACCUGCCCCCAACUAGGGAAUAACCUUGCGAAAGUAAGACUAAUACCCUAUAAUUUCCUCAGAUGUCAUCUGACGAGGAAUAAAGAUUUAUCGGUUGUGGAUGGGGAUGCGUCUGGUUAGCUUGUUGGCGGGGUAACGGCCCACCAAGGCAACGAUCAGUAGGGGUUCUGAGAGGAAGGUCCCCCACAUUGGAACGGAGACACGGUCCAAACUCCUACGGGAGGCAGCAGUGAGGAAUAUUGGUCAAUGGGCGGAAGCCUGAACCAGCCAAGUAGCGUGCAGGAUGACGGCCCUAUGGGUUGUAAACUGCUUUUAUACAGGAAUAAAGUUAGCCACGUGUGGUUAUUUGUAGGUACUGUAUGAAUAAGGACCGGCUAAUUCCGUGCCAGCAGCCGCCGUAA